rnacentral:rRNA from 1 species
GUCUGUGGCCAUACCAUCCUGAACGUGCCUGAUCUUAUCUGAAAACAAGGCCUCUUCUGUGGCCAGGAAGCAGGAAGGUAUUUGGCUACAGACA